CCUACGGGCGGCAGCAGUGGGGAAUAUUGGACAAUGGGGGCAACCCUGAUCCAGCCAUGCCGCGUGUGUGAAGAAGGCCCUCGGGUUGUAAAGCACUUUCAGUGAGGAAGAACGCCUGGUGGUUAAUACCCAUCAGGAAAGACAUCACUCACAGAAGAAGCACCGGCUAACUCCGUGCCAGCAGCCGCGGUAAUACGGAGGGUGCGAGCGUUAAUCGGAAUUACUGGGCGUAAAGCGCGCGUAGGUGGCUUGAUAAGCCGGUUGUGAAAGCCCCGGGCUCAACCUGGGAACGGCAUCCGGAACUGUCAAGCUAGAGUGCAGGAGAGGAAGGUAGAAUUCCCGGUGUAGCGGUGAAAUGCGUAGAGAUCGGGAGGAACACCAGUGGCGAAGGCGGCCUUCUGGACUGACACUGACACUGAGGUGCGAAAGCGUGGGUAGCAAACAGGAUUAGAUACCCUGGUAGUC
rnacentral:rRNA from 1 species